AGGGACCCUUCCCAGAGUAUCUGAGGGAGCAUGGCCCUGCCAACACCUUGAUUUCAGACUUCUAGCCUCCAGAACUGUGAGACAAUGCAUUUCUUUUGUUUGAAGCCAUCCAGCUUGUGGUGCUUUGUUACGGUAGUCCCAGGA
rnacentral:miRNA from 1 species